rnacentral:lncRNA from 1 species
GCUGGCCACUGGACCUUUUCUGCUAGUGGGUGGCAAUCAUUCUCGCCAGCACCAAAAAUUACGGUGACGGCACAAAUCGUUUCUGGCGUAGUUCCCCCUCCACACAUUGGUAAAGAACAAUCUUGACAUGAACUAGCUCCGAGCUAGAUUUCUUUACGACAGUGAGCGGCGGGGGGCCGAAGUGCGCGGAAAAUGUGUGCUUGAGAGGAAAUCAUGUCAUGUGACC